UUUCCCUCAAAACCCUGUCUCAUUGGUGCCUCUGAUUUCAGUUUUCCCUCUCUUUCUCUCUUUUCACGCUCAACUCUACUUACUGCGUGAGAUUCAUCACUUUCCUUAGUUCUCCCCACCUUCGCGCAACUCAUCUCUCUCCUUUUGUCACCACCGCCGUGAGCAUGGCUUCUCGUCAUCACUGGCCUCUCCAUAAUAAUUGGUUUGUAUAUCCUCCUGUUUCUCUCUCUCAGUAAACCCUAACAUUUAUAAUUUUUUUUCCCCACUUUUCCUUAUAUUUGUCCUAGCCCCUUCACAAACACUGAUCGGUCUCUUCGCUCUCUCUAUCUCUCGCUCACAAUAAUACGACCAGUAUGAAUCUUGAAGAAUUCAUGUUCAAUUUGAAGUGUUGUUAAAUUAACAGGGCUUGUCGACUAACAGUGGAUCACCAUGAAUAAACCAAAAGAUUGGUACUUCCUAGGUUGACCUGCUAUGGGAAUGUGUCCCUACAUGAUUGAAGAAAAUAUUAAGAAUAUAAUUCUUUUUGGUUUUCCUUUGGGAUCUUUGUAUGGUUACUUGUGAUGAGAUCAAUUAUUUAUGUGAUGUGAUCAACUCUUAAUUGGUGGAGAUUUGGCAAUGAAGAUAAGGUGUCGUAGAAGAAAAUAGUUUGUGGUAAGUACAAUCUCCAAGGGAGCAGGUGGUACCCACCUGUUGAGGGAUUUGAUGCCCAUUCUAGGAUCUGGGAGGACAUCCUAUCUGUGGGGAGCUUAAGACCUGAACUUUAUAAUUUUUUUUGUGAGCAAUACUCAAACACAGAUUGGAAAUGGCGCCAGGACUUUGUUUUGAAAAGAUAAAUGGAUUGGAGAUAGGUGUCUAAAGGAGGUGUUUCCAAGGUUGUAGACUUUCAAUUGAUAGGCACAAAUUAGUAAAGGAGGUACGCAACCUUAGAAGUGAUUUACCUGAUUGGCUACUGGGCUUCUGUAGAGAGUUGAGGGAUUGGGAAAAAGAAUUAUGGUCAGCAUAGUUAACAUGUUACUCUCUGCUUGUGCACUUAGAUCUGAUAAGGAGGAUGCUUUAUAUUGGAGGGUAGAAAACUCUGGUUGUUUUAGUGUUUCAUCAGUGUAUAGAUGGUGUAAAUUUAAUCUUCAUCCUAAUGACAUUGGAGUUAUUGCCAAAACGAUUUGGCACAAUGUCUCUCCACCCAAAGUCAAAUCCAUUGUGUGGUUGGCUUGGAGGCAAAAGCUUAAAAGUACUGUGUAUCUGCAGAAUAUUUGUAUCAUAAAUGGGAGUGCAAUAUUGCUCGUGUGUUUUGUAAAGUUGAAGCAGAAUCUGUAACAACAGGGGUGUUUUAUUUUUAAAAAUUUUUUUUUGGUCUUAUUGGGCUGUUGCUUGUAUUUUUUGUUUUGUUUUGUUUUUUUUUUCUACUUUGCUUUGUUGGUUGCUUGCCAAAUUUUUUGUAUAGCUUUUUAGAUGGGUCAACAAGUACAAGAAUUGAAAGUGUUGAACAGGAAAGCAACCCAAGAGGGGGGGUUGAAUUGGAUAAUUAAAAAAAUUGAUCCAAAAGUAUGGUUCAAAAGAUCUUAUGUAAGUAAAUGCAGCAGAUAAUCAAAUGAUUAACAGAAAGAAAAAAGAAUAGGAAAGAAGAACUUAACACAGAGAUUUAUAGUGAUUCGGCUCACCGACCUAGGUCCACUCCUCAAGAAUCUUUCUUGAGAAUUUCUUCACUAUGAAUCGAUGCACCACCAAGCUCUUCCAACUUGAGGUUUUUUACAAAAGGACUUACUUCAGUCUGUUGAGGAACUCACCCAACAAAAUGCCUCACUAACAAAUGUUUCACUCAGAAACUAAGAAACUAGAAGAAAAUGUUCAACUGUCCUCUUUGACUAUUACAAUCUCUCAAAAGAUGGAUUAUGAAAGUGUAAGCUCUCACGUAAGUUUUUGGACUUACUUAGAUCUGAAAAUGGAAGAACACAAGUGAAAUCUCAGAGAUUAAAAAAAAUAGUAUCCUUAGUGUAGUUGCAGUUGUAUCUCCUUUUCUCUGGCCCUUUUCAGAUCUAGAAACAAUCCCGAUUUAUAGCCUCCAUUCGACUUGUCUCUUGAAGAAGAGAAAACACACCCACGUGGGUUUAUUACCUGUUGGAGCUGGGCAAGGAACAGGUUUCCAGCCAUUGUAAAUGGAGCAUGGCUGGUACAGGCUGUUAUCUGACCAUUGGAGAUGGAGCUUCCUCAAAGGAAGUGAUGCCCAUGCUUGGGAGAAAAACCAAUGGUGGAGGGAUAUAAUGUUGUCUCCAAGCUUUUUCUUUUUCUGAUCUUGGGAGUGGUGUGAGUGGAGAAUGUUCCCUCCAUUAAGUCAGAAAAUAUUAUCCCAAAGUUCCUUUUGAUUAGAAUAAUAUAUGUUUGAUGAUGAUGUCACAGAGACCCUCUUUGAGUUGGAAGAUGGUGGCUAGGUUUUAUUCAACCCAGACAUAAAGGUGUCGACCUCUGCAAGUUGGGUGUUGACCUUUUGCUCUGAUUUUUCUUUCCUGAGUUGAGUUACAUGUGUUCCUGGUGUCGACCCUUGCGGCUGAAGUGUAUACUGUUUUUUGGUGUCGACCCUUGCUGCUGUUGGUGUUGACCCUUACAACUAGAGUGUAUACUGCUUUUUGGUGUCGACCCUUGCUGCUGUUGGUGUCGACCCUUACAACUGGAGUUUAUAUUGUUUUUUGGUGUCGACCCUUGCUGCUGAUGGUGUCGACCCUUGCAUCUGGAACACUUAAUUAUUUUUCUAGCUUUUCCCUGGUGUCGACCCCUGCUUUUCUGGCGUCGACCCUCUGUUCUAGAACACUUAACAUUUGAGGAUUAUUCUAGUGACUACCCUUGGACCUGUGUUAGACAAAGAUAGAUUUUUGCAACCAAGAGCUAGUGCUUAUAUUUUUGAUAACCCAAAAAGUUAUUGAAACAUAUAUUCUAGAGUCUCAAAACAAUUAGAAUCAUGAAGUACAAAUAUUAAUUUGAAAAAUUCAAAUAAUUAGAAGAAUAAAAUAUU